AGCCAGGACCCAUGCGAAUGAACGCCGCCCAACUCCGCCAGGUCCGGAAGGAAGCAACGGCAAGCGGAUGUCUGUUGCGCCGUGGUCAUCCUGGUUGUG
rnacentral:SRP_RNA from 1 species